AGUGAACGCUGGCGGUAGGCCUAACACAUGCAAAUCGAACGGCAGCACAGUAAGAGCUUGCUCUUACGGGUGGCGAGUGGCGGACGGGUGAGGAAUACAUCGGAAUCUACUUUUUCGUGGGGGAUAACGUAGGGAAACUUACGCUAAUACCGCAUACGACCUACGGGUGAAAGCAGGGGAUCUUCGGACCUUGCGCGAUUGAAUGAGCCGAUGUCGGAUUAGCUAGUUGGCGGGGUAAAGGCCCACCAAGGCGACGAUCCGUAGCUGGUCUGAGAGGAUGAUCAGCCACACUGGAACUGAGACACGGUCCAGACUCCUACGGGAGGCAGCAGUGGGGAAUAUUGGACAAUGGGCGCAAGCCUGAUCCAGCCAUACCGCGUGGGUGAAGAAGGCCUUCGGGUUGUAAAGCCCUUUUGUUGGGAAAGAAAAGCAGCAGGUUAAUACCCCGCUGUUCUGACGGUACCCAAAGAAUAAGCACCGGCUAACUACGUG
rnacentral:rRNA from 1 species